rnacentral:rRNA from 1 species
UACGAAGGGGGCUAGCGUUGUUCGGAAUUACUGGGCGUAAAGGGCGCGUAGGCGGUUUAUCAAGUCAGGCGUGAAAGCCCCGGGCUCAACCUGGGAAUUGCGUUUGAUACUGGUAGACUUGAGUUCGGGAGAGGUGAGUGGAAUUCCCAGUGUAGAGGUGAAAUUCGUAGAUAUUGGGAAGAACACCGGUGGCGAAGGCGGCUCACUGGACCGAUACUGACGCUGAGGCGCGAAAGCGUGGGGAGCAAACAGG